UUACGGCCAUAUCAUGUUGAAACACUAGUUCCUGUAUGAUCACCAAAGUUAAGCAAUGUCAAGCCUGUUCAGUACCUAUGUGGGUGACCGCUGAAGAAUACCAGUUGCUGUAAG